ensembl:lncRNA
CCUCAGUUGAAAUUUCUGCUAAGUUCCUUCUUUUUCUGGUUUCUUGUGUUAUUUGGGAUGUUUUUCUUCAUACAAGCAUCUAUAGCAUAAAUUUCUCUAACACCUGCUUUUGCUUUAUCCCAUAGGUUUUGGAAUAUUGUGUUUUGUUCUGAGAACUUUUGAUUUGCCAUUUGAGUUCUUUUAAUGUUUAUUUUUGAGACAGAGACAGAAUGUGAGUGGGUUAGGGGCAGAGAGAGAGGGAGACACAGAACCGGAAGAAAGCUCCAAGCUGUCAGCACAGAGCCUGACGUGGAGCUCCAACUCAUGAGCUGUGAGAUCAUGACCUGAGCCGAAGCCGGAUGCUCAACCAACUGAGCCACCCAGGCGACCCUGCCAUUUCAGUUAUUUGGCCCACUGCUUGUGCAGUAAUGUGUUUAAUAUUUAUGAAAUAUUUAAUAUUUACACUGCAGAUUUUCCAGCUUUGUGUUGAGAUUUAAUACCUUGUAGUUGGAAAAUAUACCUGGUAGGAUUUCAGUCUUCAUAAGUUUGUAAUAUUUGUUAGGUUUGAUUUAACCAGGGGAUUCUGCUGUGUAUGCUUGAGAAAAAGGUAUUUUUAUUAGAAUGUUUUAGAUCUUUCAGAACCACGUAGUCUGAAGUAUGCUUCAAUAAAGUCUUGAAAAAAUGACAACCUUAAUGGAGGGUAUACGUUUAAAAUAAAGCCUAUCAGAGGGGAGGUUGGUGAGGGGCAUGGGUGAAAUAGUCCCAUUCACCUAAGUACACUUAUGAGCACGGAGGAAUGUAUAGGAUUAUUGAAUCUCUGUAUUGUACACCUGAAACACUACACGGAACUGUUGGAAUUAAAAUAAAUUGGACAAAUGUAUGAACUGUAAGGGCAAACAUACAUGUUUAUAUUGAAGUGCAGGUAAUUCAGUUCAUAUGAGAGGUCAUUUAUCUCCUACAGGUGAACCUGACAACACAAUGACCACAGCAUUGCAGAGCCAAUUGGAUAAAACAAUAAUUACAGUCUGGACUGUGAAGGCCACCAAAUACGGAAGAGGGAUUAACAGAUGCCAACAGAUGUAUUUCCUGACUCAUUAG